AAGUAUAGUGUGGAGCUAGUUUUAAUUACUUUAUAUGCAGUACUAAUGCACCAUAUUUUAUAUUUAAGAUGAAAUUAAGUUGAUCUGUAAACAAAGUAACUGGUGACUAAAGCUGUGAAAUAAAUAAGAUUUCCCUCUAAAAUGUAGUGGAGUAGAAAUAUAAAGUAGCAUAGCUACUGAAGUUAAGUGCAAGAGCCUCAAAAUUGUACAGUGCAUCGCCUGAGUAAAUGUAAUUAGUCACCAAAACCAACCUAUCACUCUCAAAUUAAUUGUCCAUGUAUUAAAGGUCCCAUAUCGUGCUCAUUUUCAGGUUCAUACUUGUAUUUUGUGUUUCUACUAGAACAUGUUUACAUGCUGUAAUGUUCAAAAAACUUUA